CGCGGCCUAUCAGCUUGUUGGUAGGGUAGUGGCUUACCAAGGCUUUGACGGGUAGCCGGCCUGAGAGGGUGACCGGCCACAUUGGGACUGAGAUACGGCCCAGACUCCUACGGGAGGCAGCAGUGGGGAAUAUUGCACAAUGGGCGGAAGCCUGAUGCAGCAACGCCGCGUGCGGGAUGACGGCCUUCGGGUUGUAAACCGCUUUCGCCUGUGACGAAGCGUGAGUGACGGUAAUGGGUAAAGAAGCACCGGCUAACUACGUGCCAGCAGCCGCGGUGAUACGUAGGGUGCGAGCGUUGUCCGGAUUUAUUGGGCGUAAAGGGCUCGUAGGUGGUUGAUCGCGUCGGAAGUGUAAUCUUGGGGCUUAACCCUGAGCGUGCUUUCGAUACGGGUUGACUUGAGGAAGGUAGGGGAGAAUGGAAUUCCUGGUGGAGCGGUGGAAUGCGCAGAUAUCAAGAGGAACACCAGUGGCGAAGGCGGUUCUCUGGGCCUUUCCUGACGCUGAGGAGCGAAAGCGUGGGGAGCGAACAGGCUUAGAUACCCUGGUAGUCCACGCUGUAAACGGUGGGUACUAGGUGUGGGGUCCAUUCCACGGGUUCCGUGCCGUAGCUAACGCUUUAAGUACCCCGCCUGGGGAGUACGG
rnacentral:rRNA from 1 species